rnacentral:rRNA from 1 species
CCCGUUAAUGGGUGAUGGCGUGCCUUUUGUAGAAUGAACCGGCGAGUUACGAUUUGAUGCAAGGUUAAGCAGUAAAUGUGGAGCCGUAGCGAAAGCGAGUCUGAAUAGGGCGUUUAGUAUUUGGUCGUAGACCCGAAACCAGGUGAUCUACCCUUGGUCAGGUUGAAGUUCAGGUAACACUGAAUGGAGGACCGAACCGACUUACGUUGAAAAGUGAGCGGAUGAACUGAGGGUAGCGGAGAAAUUCCAAUCGAACCUGGAGAUAGCUGGUUCUCUCCGAAAUAGCUUUAGGGCUAGCCUCAAGUGAUGAUUAUUGGAGGUAGAGCACUGUUUGGACGAGGGGCCCCUCUCGGGUUACCGAAUUCAGACAAACUCCGAAUGCCAAUUAAUUUAACUUGGGAGUCAGAACAUGGGUGAUAAGGUCCGUGUUCGAAAGGGAAACAGCCCAGACCACCAGCUAAGGUCCCAAAAUAUAUGUUAAGUGGAAAAGGAUGUGGCGUUGCCCAGACAACUAGGAUGUUGGCUUAGAAGCAGCCAUCAUUUAAAGAGUGCGUAAUAGCUCACUAGUCGAGUGACACUGCGCCGAAAAUGUACCGGGGCUAAACAUAUUACCGAAGCUGUGGAUUGUCCUUUGGACAAUGGUAGGAGAGCGUUCUAAGGGCGUUGAAGCAUGAUCGUAAGGACAUGUGGAGCGCUUAGAAGUGAGAAUGCCGGUGUGAGUAGCGAAAGACGGGUGAGAAUCCCGUCCACCGAUUGACUAAGGUUUCCAGAGGAAGGCUCGUCCGCUCUGGGUUAGUCGGGUCCUAAGCUGAGGCCGACAGGCGUAGGCGAUGGAUAACAGGUUGAUAUUCCUGUACCACCUAUAAUCGUUUUAAUCGAUGGGGGGACGCAGUAGGAUAGGCGAAGCGUGCGAUUGGAUUGCACGUCUAAGCAGUAAGGCUGAGUAUUAGGCAAAUCCGGUACUCGUUAAGGCUGAGCUGUGAUGGGGAGAAGACAUUGUGUCUUCGAGUCGUUGAUUUCACACUGCCGAGAAAAGCCUCUAGAUAGAAAAUAGGUGCCCGUACCGCAAACCGACACAGGUAGUCAAGAUGAGAAUUCUAAGGUGAGCGAGCGAACUCUCGUUAAGGAACUCGGCAAAAUGACCCCGUAACUUCGGGAGAAGGGGUGCUCUUUAGGGUUAACGCCCAGAAGAGCCGCAGUGAAUAGGCCCAAGCGACUGUUUAUCAAAAACACAGGUCUCUGCUAAACCGUAAGGUGAUGUAUAGGGGCUGACGCCUGCCCGGUGCUGGAAGGUUAAGAGGAGUGGUUAGCUUCUGCGAAGCUACGAAUCGAAGCCCCAGUAAACGGCGGCCGUAACUAUAACGGUCCUAAGGUAGCGAAAUUCCUUGUCGGGUAAGUUCCGACCCGCACGAAAGGCGUAACGAUUUGGGCACUGUCUCAACGAGAGACUCGGUGAAAUCAUAGUACCUGUGAAGAUGCAGGUUACCCGCGACAGGACGGAAAGACCCCGUGGAGCUUUACUGUAGCCUGAUAUUGAAAUUCGGCACAGCUUGUACAGGAUAGGUAGGAGCCUUUGAAACGUGAGCGCUAGCUUACGUGGAGGCGCUGGUGGGAUACUACCCUAGCUGUGUUGG